rnacentral:lncRNA from 1 species
AUGAGAAGAAAAGGGGCAUCUUCCUUCCCAGUUAGGAGAUAUAAGAAGGAAGAGGAGGUGUACUGGUGCCUUGUUCCUUUAAGUUGCUUCACUAUAAAUGCAUUCCACACUCCUUCCUUUAUCCUUUAUAAUUUCAGAAUUUAUUUAAAAAAAAUCAAAAUAAAAUCUUUAGUCCAGAGACAUCCCAGAAAAAACAAACAACCAUGUACCUUUUCAGAGGACUCAAGCCCCAGUUUCAUCUCCUGUGUGACCUUGGACGCGGGGGCCAGAGAAAGGCAAAGUCACUGCCAACAUAAUCAGAAAGAAGUGUCCCUGGCUAGAGACUGGUACAGUGCAUGAGAAGAAAAAAGAUUUCUCUGCAUCUGGAGCAUUUCGGAGCUUCUUUCUCUGCUACUUUUUGACCGUAAAAACCUUCCGUGCCCUUCCGGCCUCUAUGAGAAUGGCAAGAGUUCCCGAGGUUUGCUUUAACCAAUACAUAUCAUCCAACUACCCACAAAUAGUGAUGAAAGGAUGUUAGAAAUGGUUUUGCAGGUGCCAACUGAUUGGAAUUGUAUAGCCAUCAGGGAAUACAAUGGCCCUUCUGUUUUGGAAUAAAUAUUUAAACCUAUAAAUAUCUGUAGGCA